GACGAACGCUGGCGGCGUGCUUAACACAUGCAAGUCGAACGAAGAGCGAUGGAAGCUUGCUUCUAUCAAUCUUAGUGGCGAACGGGUGAGUAACGCGUAAUCAACCUGCCCUUCAGAGGGGGACAACAGUUGGAAACGACUGCUAAUACCGCAUACGAUCUAAUCUCGGCAUCGAGGAAAGAUGAAAGGUGGCCUCUAUUUAUAAGCUAUCACUGAAGGAGGGGAUUGCGUCUGAUUAACUAGUUGGAGGGGUAACGGCCCACCAAGGCGAUGAUCAGUAGCCGGUCUGAGAGGAUGAACGGCCACAUUGGGACUGAGACACGGCCCAGACUCCUACGGGAGGCAGCAGUGGGGAAUCUUCCGCAAUGGACGAAAGUCUGACGGAGCAACGCCGCGUGAGUGAUGACGGCCUUCGGGUUGUAAAGCUCUGUUAAUCGGGACGAAAGGCCUUCUUGCGAACAGUUAGAAGGAUUGACGGUACCGGAAUAGAAAGCCACGGCUAACUACGUG
rnacentral:rRNA from 1 species